rnacentral:rRNA from 1 species
CGCCUGGGGAGUGCGGCCGCAAGGUUAAAACUCAAAUGAAUUGACGGGGGCCCGCACAAGCGGUGGAGCAUGUGGUUUAAUUCGACGCAACGCGAAGAACCUUACCUGGCCUUGACAUCCAGAGAGCUUUCCAGAGAUGGAUUGGUGCCUUCGGGAACUCUGAGACAGGUGCUGCAUGGCCGUCGUCAGCUCGUGUCGUGAGAUGUUGGGUUAAGUCCCGUAACGAGCGCAACCCCUAUCCCUGGUUGCUAGCAGGUAAUGCUGAGAACUCCAGGAAGACUGCCGGUGACAAACCGGAGGAAGGUGGGGAUGACGUCAGGUCAUCAUGGCCCUUACGGCCAGGGCUACACACGUGCUACAAUGGCGCGUACAGAGGGCUGCCAACUCGCGAGAGUGAGCCAAUCCCUUAAAACGCGUCGUAGUCCGGAUCGGAGUCUGCAACUCGACUCCGUGAAGUCGGAAUCGCUAGUAAUCGCGAAUCAGAAUGUCGCGGUGAAUACGUUCCCGGGCCUUGUACACACCGCCCGUCACACCAUGGGAGUGGAUUGCACCAGAAGUAGUUAGUCUAACCUUCGGGAGGACGAUUACCACGGUGUGGUUCAUGACUGGGGUGAAGUCGUAACAAGGUAACCGUA